GUAGUUGUGGCCGAGUGGUUAAGGCGAUGGACUUGAAAUCCAUUGGGGUCUCCCCGCGCAGGUUCAAAUCCCGCCAACUACG
rnacentral:tRNA from 1 species